GACGAACGCUGGCGGCGUGCCUAAUACAUGCAAGUAGAACGCUGAAGACUUUAGCUUGCUAAAGUUGGAAGAGUUGCGAACGGGUGAGUAACGCGUAGGUAACCUGCCUACUAGCGGGGGAUAACUAUUGGAAACGAUAGCUAAUACCGCAUAACAGCAUUUAACCCAUGUUAGAUGCUUGAAAGGAGCAAUUGCUUCACUAGUAGAUGGACCUGCGUUGUAUUAGCUAGUUGGUGAGGUAACGGCUCACCAAGGCGACGAUACAUAGCCGACCUGAGAGGGUGAUCGGCCACACUGGGACUGAGACACGGCCCAGACUCCUACGGGAGGCAGCAGUAGGGAAUCUUCGGCAAUGGGGGCAACCCUGACCGAGCAACGCCGCGUGAGUGAAGAAGGUUUUCGGAUCGUAAAGCUCUGUUGUAAGAGAAGA
rnacentral:rRNA from 1 species